rnacentral:rRNA from 1 species
AGUGAACGCUGGCGGUAGGCCUAACACAUGCAAGUCGAACGGCAGCACAGGAGAGCUUGCUCUCUGGGUGGCGAGUGGCGGACGGGUGAGGAAUACAUCGGAAUCUACUUUUUCGUGGGGGAUAACGUAGGGAAACUUACGCUAAUACCGCAUACGACCUACGGGUGAAAGCAGGGGACCUUCGGGCCUUGCGCGAUGGAAUGAGCCGAUGUCGGAUCAGCUAGUUGGCGGGGUAAAGGCCCACCAAGGGGACGAUCCGUAGCUGGUCUGAGAGGAUGAUCAGCCACACUGGAACUGAGACACGGUCCAGACUCCUACGGGAGGCAGCAGUGGGGAAUAUUGGACAAUGGGCGCAAGCCUGAUCCAGCCAUACCGCGUGGGUGAAGAAGGCCUUCGGGUUGUAAAGCCCUUUUGUUGGGAAAGAAAUCCAGCUGGCUAAUACCCGGUUGGGAUGACGGUACCCAAAGAAUAAGCACCGGCUAACUUCGUGCCAGCAGCCGCGGUAA